UAGUAAGAUCCUCUGCAUUAAAAGGAAAGUUUCUAGAGAGGAUAUAAUGCCUGUCUUCACCCAAAGGCACUAGAGUUCCAAACCAGAGAGUCCAUGCAAAGCAUAUUCAACCUUGCUUGCCCCGGGUUUCUUCUCCUUCAAACAAGCACCACCAUGUGGAUAGAUAAGGUAAGCAAACACCUCAAAACAGACAUCUCAUGGAGAAUUUGAUGAAUCAGAUCAGGUAUGUCGGCAUGACUUUUUACCUUGGAAAUGUCGCAACAUGUUCUAGCAGCCAUGUGCGUGCUUACAUAGAUAUGAAUAAACAAACAUUUCAAAUGGGCAAGGCUUUGCAUGCUAACAUUUUUGGUUACUAUACCCUUAAGAUUGCAUAAUUUUACCGUGUUAUUGAGAUUAGUUUGCAGUUAUUAUGUGAUCAAACUUUAGAAGUGUCUGAUCUGACAAUGAAUUAAAGCGAUCUUACCUAAAGGAAAUAAGAGUUCAUAAUUAUCAUAUCUGCUGUAAAUUAAGUACAAAUUCACUUAUUAGAGUUGAUAACUAUUAUCAAGUUAAUCUUGAACCUUUUCCUUAGGUUGAUAUUUACUGGUGCAGAGGAGAGCGGAGCUGAUCUGAGUGGCAUCAGGGAUCAGAAAAUACCCUCACAGAAAGAGAAAAAACCAAAGAAGGUUGCUAAUGAACCAAAAAGCAAAGAAGUUCCCUUUUUCAGCAACCGACUUUCCUAGUUCACAGGAGAAAAAAGCAAACAUUCCUUUGGCAAUACAAUAGUUUCUUGAUUAUGAGAAGGCCCAGAAUUGGUUCCCAAGGCAGUUUUUGAGAAAAAUGAGUAAUGACUAUGACUCUCUAGAGAUAGAACGUGGCUACUGCAAUUGCAGCUGCCGCAUUCGCCGUAACCUCACAAUAUUUCUCUGAACAGAAGACUAGUGAGGGUCCUGAGAACUUGUUGACCAAGACCAAAAGCAAAAUAAGUGGUUUAUCCAGGAAACUCUCAGGUUCAUUUAAAUCUUCAGAUGGCCUAUUUAACAAGGUGCCAAUAUUUCCAGUCACCGAUGAAAAGAAACCAGAAAAGAUUCUCACCCCAGUAUCUUCAACGAAGAAAACUUCAACUUCUAGCGACCACUUGAACAGGGAUGAUACAAAACCUGAGGUCCCACCGCCAAGAAAGACUCUAUCUUUUGGUGAUACAAACUUGAAGAAAACGGAAGAAAUGAAACCUGCGAUCCCAGAACCAAAACUUGCUCCACCAAUUAAGUCAGAGUAUUCAAGCCUAAUGCCUCUGCCUCCCCCGCCACCACCGCCACAACCACAGAGAAGUAAGGAAUGAUGCGAUAAAGCCUGGCCCUCCAAAGCCACCCACUCCACCAACAAGAGUGAACACUAACGAAAAAAAAGCAGCUGCUUGGGAGAGGGAGCAGCUUGAAACGAUAAAAGAAAGGUAUGAUAAGUUGAAGCUGACGAUAAAUUCUUGGGAAAACAAGAAGAAGGCUAAAGCCAGACGCAAGUUGGAGAAGAAAGAG